rnacentral:lncRNA from 1 species
GGCGAGCACGGCACCCGGCAGCCCCCCACUGGCGUGGCACCCCGCUGAGAAGACGUACCACACGCACCGGCGCCGGCGCUGGCUGCGCACCCGCCGCAGGGAGCCCGGCACCCAGGGACAGGAGCAGGAAGUGGCCACCUUCCUCCAGCUGGUUGGGGCGGCGGGGACGGGGUGACAGGGAUGGGGGUGGCAGGGAUGGGGUCACAGGGAUGGGGGUCACAGGGUGGAGAUAGUAGGGGUGGGGUAGCAGGGAUGGGGUCAAAGGAUGGGGGUGGCAGGGGUGGGGUGGCAGAGAUGGGGGUGGCAGGGACAAGGUGGCAGGGACAAGGUGGCAAGGAAGGGGGUGAUGAGAUGGGGGUGACAAGGAUGGGGUGGCCGGGACAGGGUGGCAGGUAAGAGGGUGCCAGGAAUGGGGUUGCAAGCUUGGGGGUGCUGAGGAUGGGGUGGCGGGGAUGGGGGUGGCAGGGAUGGGGGUGACAGGAUGGGGAUGACAGCAAGGGGGUGGCAGGGACGAGGUGGCGGGGACGAGCCUUUGGCCACCAGUGCCUUGAGCAUCCCCACCCGCUCCCCGUGCCAUCGUCCCCUGCGUGCCUCGUGUCCCCGCAGCACAGCCCCGAAGCGCCAGAAGCAGACGAGGCGUGGGAGUACGCGACCCUUUGGGGCUGCCGCUUCCACCUGCGGCCCCGCGCCGGGGACCUGUGCCGGCGGCGCUGCUGGCACCGGCGCAUGGUGCCAUUGCAGCCCCCGUCCGUGGCCCCCCUCUUCCUCCUCGAGGGCUCCCCGGUACCGCAGGGCAUGGAGGUGGCGGUGCCGGAGGGCGAGCAGCCAGCAUCAGGGGCCGGGGGCCGGGGGCGCCUGCAGCAGCCCAUGCCCCUCAUCCUCUGCACCUUCCAGCGUGAGCCCCAGGGUGCCAGGAGGGGAGGGUCCCGGGGGGGGUUACAGGACCCCCUGCCACCCCCUGCCUCUCCCACAGGGCCCAGCUACUUCCAGCUACGCUGCUACCUCUUCCAGGCGCUGGAGCUGGCGCCCCACGGCACCAAGACCACGGCAGGUGGGACCCACCCCCCCCUCCCUGGCACCCCGGACCCCCCCAGCAGGCACCCCGGGGUGCUGAUGGUGGG